rnacentral:rRNA from 1 species
CCUACGGGAGGCAGCAGUGAGGAAUAUUGGUCAAUGGGCGGAAGCCUGAACCAGCCAAGUAGCGUGCAGGAUGACGGCCCUACGGGUUGUAAACUGCUUUUAUACGGGAAUAACGCGCCUUACGUGUAGGGCUUUGCAUGUACCGUAUGAAUAAGGACCGGCUAAUUCCGUGCCAGCAGCCGCGGUAAUACGGAAGGUCCGGGCGUUAUCCGGAUUUAUUGGGUUUAAAGGGAGCGUAGGCCGCAUGUCAAGCGUGCUGUGAAAUGUCCGGGCUCAACCCGGGCCUUGCAGCGCGAACUGGCGUGCUUGAGUGCGCGAGAAGUAUGCGGAAUGCGUGGUGUAGCGGUGAAAUGCAGAGAUAUCACGCAGAACUCCGAUUGCGAAGGCAGCAUACCGGCGCGCAACUGACGCUCAUGCACGAAAGCGUGGGUAUCGAACAGGAUUAGAUACCCGGGUAGUC